rnacentral:rRNA from 1 species
CGAGGGGGGACCGUAGCAAUCGCUGAGCUGCAGCGAGGAAGAGAUCACAAUUUAUAAUCUGGCACCUUCGGUGUCCGAGUUGUAAUCUCUAGAAAUGUUUUCCGCGUUGGACCGCACACAAGUCUGUUGGAAUACAGCGGCAUAGUGGUGAGACCCCCGUAUAUGGUGCGGACGCCCAGCGCUUUGUGAUACAUUUUCGAAGAGUCGAGUUGUUUGGGAAUGCAGCUCAAAUUGGGUGGUAAAUUCCAUCUAAAGCUAAAUAUUGGCGAGAGACCGAUAGCGAACAAGUACCGUGAGGGAAAGAUGAAAAGCACUUUGGAAAGAGAGUUAACAGUACGUGAAAUUGUUGGAAGGGAAACGCUUGAAGUCAGACUUGCUUGCUGAGCAAUCGGUUUGCAGGCCAGCAUCAGUUUUCCGGGAUGGAUAAUGGUAGAGAGAAGGUAGCAGUUUCGGCUGUGUUAUAGCUCUCUGCUGGAUACAUCUUGGGGGACUGAGGAACGCAGUGUGCCUUUGGCGGGGGUUUCGACCUCUUCACACUUAGGAUGCUGGUGGAAUGGCUUUAAACGACCCGUCUUGAACACCGGACCACAA